rnacentral:rRNA from 1 species
UAUCUUCGGAUAGAGAGACCGGCGCACGGGUGCGUAACGCGUAUGCAAUCUACCUUUUGCAGAGGGAUAGCCCAGAGAAAUUUGGAUUAAUACCUCAUAGUAUAUAGAGUUGGCAUCAACACUAUAUUAAAGUCACAACGGCAAAAGAUGAGCAUGCGUCCCAUUAGCUAGUUGGUAAGGUAACGGCUUACCAAGGCUACGAUGGGUAGGGGUCCUGAGAGGGAGAUCCCCCACACUGGUACUGAGACACGGACCAGACUCCUACGGGAGGCAGCAGUGAGGAAUAUUGGACAAUGGGCGCAAGCCUGAUCCAGCCAUGCCGCGUGCAGGAUGACGGUCCUAUGGAUUGUAAACUGCUUUUGCACAGGAAGAAACAACGCUACGUGUAGCGUCUUGACGGUACUGUGAGAAUAAGGAUCGGCUAACUCCGUGCCAGCAGCCGCGGUAAUACGGAGGAUCCAAGCGUUAUCCGGAAUCAUUGGGUUUAAAGGGUCCGUAGGCGGUUUAGUAAGUCAGUGGUGAAAGCCCAUCGCUCAACGGUGGAACGGCCAUUGAUACUGCUAGACUUGAAUUAUUAGGAAGUAACUAGAAUAUGUAGUGUAGCGGUGAAAUGCUUAGAGAUUACAUGGAAUACCAAUUGCGAAGGCAGGUUACUACUAAUGGAUUGACGCUGAUGGACGAAAGCGUGGGUAGCGAACAGGAUUAGAUACCCUGGUAGUCCACGCCGUAAACGAUGGAUACUAGCUGUUGGGAGCGAUCUCAGUGGCUAAG